rnacentral:rRNA from 1 species
AAUGAACGCUGGCGGCAGGCCUAAAACAUGCAAGUCGAACGCCCUAGCAAUAGGGAGUGGCGCACGGGUGAGUAACAUGUGGGAAUAUGCCUUUUGGUACGGAACAACGUUUGGAAACGAACGCUAAUACCGUAUGGUCCCUCCGGGGUAAAGAUUUAUCGCCAAAAGAUUAGCCCGCACUAGAUUAGCUAGUUGGUAAGGUAAUGGCUUACCAAGGCGACGAUCUAUAGCUGUUCUGAGAGGAAGAUCAGCCACACUGGGACUGAUACACGGCCCAGACUCCUACGGGAGGCAGCAGUUAGGAAUAUUGGACAAUGGGCGCAGGCCUGAUCCAGCCAUGCCGCGUGAGUGAUGAAGGCCUUCGGGUUGUAAAGCUCUUUAGCCGACGAAUAUAAUGACUGUAGUCGGAGAAUAAGCCCCGGCUAACUUCGUGCCAGCCGCCGCGGUAAAAC